rnacentral:rRNA from 1 species
GACGGGGGAUGCAAGCGUUAUCCGGAAUCACUGGGCGUAAAGCGUCCGUAGGUGGUUAUGCAAGUCUGCCGUUAAAGACUGGGGCUUAACUCCAGAGAAGCAGUGGAAACUGCAGGACUAGAGUGUGGUAGGGGUAGAAGGAAUUCCCUGUGUAGCGGUGAAAUGCGUAGAUAAUGGGAAGAACAUCGGUGGCGAAAGCGUUCUACUGGACUGCAACUGACACUGAGGGACGAAAGCUAGGGGAGCGAAAGGG